rnacentral:rRNA from 1 species
UACGGAGGAUCCAAGCGUUAUCCGGAUUAACUGGGCGUAAAGAGUUGCGUAGGUGGUAAUGUAAGCGAAUAGUGAAAUCUUGUGGCUCAACCAUAAACACAUUAUUCGAACUGCAUCACUCGAGAGCGAGAGAGGUCACUGGAAUUCCCUGUGUAGGAGUGAAAUCCGUAGAUAUAGGGAGGAACACCAAUGGCGUAGGCAGGUGACUGGCUCGUUUCUGACACUGAGGCACGAAAGCGUGGGGAGCGAACGGG